AGACGAACUGUCCAAACGUUAUUCGGAAUCACUGGGCUUAAAGGGUGCGUAGGCGGCUCGACAAGUUGGGUGUGAAAGCCCUCGGCUCAACCGAGGAACUGCGUCCAAAACUGUUGGGCUUGAGGAAGACAGAGGUAAGUGGAACUUAGGGUGGAGCGGUGAAAUGCGUUGAUAUCCUAGGGAACACCAGUAGCGAAAGCGGCUUACUGGGUCUUUUCUGACGCUGAUGCACGAAAGCUAGGGGAGCGAAGAGGAUUAGAUACCCUCGUAGUCCUAGCCGUAAACGAUGAGCACUGGUUUGGAGGGUCCUCCAUAGCCUUCCAGACGUAGCGAAAGUGUUAAGUGCUCCGCCUGGGGAGUAUGGUCGCAAGGCUGAA
rnacentral:rRNA from 1 species